GACGAACGCUGGCGGCGUGCUUAACACAUGCAAGUCGAACGGUAAGGCUCCAGCUUGCUGGGGUACACGAGUGGCGAACGGGUGAGUAACACGUGGGUGACCUGCCCUGCACUUCGGGAUAAGCCUGGGAAACUGGGUCUAAUACCGGAUAGGACCGCACCGUGAGGGUGUGGUGGAAAGUUUUUUCGGUGUGGGAUGGGCCCGCGGCCUAUCAGCUUGUUGGUGGGGUAAUGGCCUACCAAGGCGGCGACGGGUAGCCGGCCUGAGAGGGUGGACGGCCACAUUGGGACUGAGACACGGCCCAGACUCCUACGGGAGGCAGCAGUGGGGAAUAUUGCACAAUGGGCGGAAGCCUGAUGCAGCGACGCCGCGUGGGGGAUGACGGCCUUCGGGUUGUAAACUCCUUUCACCAUCGACGAAGGGUUUCUGACGGUAGAUGGAGAAGAAGCACCGGCUAACUACGUGCCAGCAGCCGCGGUAAUACGUAGGGUGCGAGCGUUGUCCGGAAUUACUGGGCGUAAAGAGCUCGUAGGUGGUUUGUCGCGUCGUCUGUGAAAUUCCGGGGCUUAACUCCGGGCGUGCAGGCGAUACGGGCAUAACUUGAGUACUGUAGGGGAGACUGGAAUUCCUGGUGUAGCGGUGAAAUGCGCAGAUAUCAGGAGGAACACCGGUGGCGAAGGCGGGUCUCUGGGCAGUAACUGACGCUGAGGAGCGAAAGCAUGGGGAGCGAACAGG
rnacentral:rRNA from 1 species